rnacentral:tRNA from 1 species
GCGCCCGUAGCUCAACUGGAUAGAGCACCCGCCUUCUAAGCGGGUGGCUGUGGGUUCAAGUCCCGCCGGGCGUA